rnacentral:misc_RNA from 1 species
CCGAAAGUAUUUGAAAACGAACCCAGCGGCCACUGCCGCCUCGCCUAUAAAUACGGCGUCGCGUGCGGCCUUCUCUCAUCGCCAAGUUUUUUUAACUAUACAAUCCAGGAAGGAAGUCACUGUCACUUGGUGAGAUCGAUGGCCCGCGUCGCCGCCGUCCUCGUUGCUCUCCUCGCCCUCUUUGCCGUCGCGGCCACGGCGCAGGCCCCUGCCGCGUCGCCCAAGCGCGCCCCAGCCCCUGCGCCACCCAAGAUGGCCCCUCUCCCGCCGCCGCCGACCAGGGCCCCCAUGGCCUCCCCGCCCUCGCCUCCCACGAUGUCGCCGGCGUCCGCCCCCUCCGCCGACGCUCCAGCCACGAGCCCCGCCGGUGCGGGAUUUGGCGACGCGAUGGCCCCGGCGGGAGCCUCCGCUCUGACUCCGGCCGCCGCGCCCGUCACGGAGAAGAGCACAGCCGCAUCUGCCUCCGCCAUCAGCUUCGUCGCCAUCGCCGGCGCUGUGGCAGCCGCCGCCGUCGUGUUCUAGACAUCCGGAAGUGGAUCUGAGGAGCUGCAGCUGCACCUGAGCCGCUCUGCUGUUGUUGAUAGAUGCCCUCUGUUUGCUCUGUUUUACGAUCCAUUGUUUAUUUAUUUAUUUGUUUGUUUGUCAUUUAGAGGUCUGAGACAGAGAUGAGGAUGUGUAAUCCUAUCAAUUUUCUGAACGGGA